GCUUGCACCUCUGUCACAUACUAAAAUUGGAAAGAUACAGAGAAGACUAGCAUGGCCCCUGCACACUUACCAGAAGAAAGAUAAAUAAAUAACAGGUUA
rnacentral:snRNA from 1 species